GGCGGGGUAGCACACGUGCAUCAGUGCAUCAGUGAAGCAUGAGACCUGACUUGAAAGUUACUUCAGCCUGAAGACGUCCGUUCGAUUCGGGCCCCUGUCA